rnacentral:tRNA from 1 species
GACCAUGCGGCCUAAUGGACAAGGCAUCUGACUUUCAAUCUGAAGAUUGAGGUUUCAAGUCCCUUCGUGGUUG